CUUUCUGCUGAUAAGUAUUAGUCCUCUCAUCAAUCUUGCCUGUUUUUCUCGUCGGUCUUGCAUUUGAAGCUCAGGUGAAUGGCCUUUUCCUUUCCUUAUCUCUUACUGUUUAAUGAAAUGUUGUGCCCGGACGAGUUCUUUCCCAUGGAAACCAUGGGAUAUGAUAGGGGCUGUGACUAUGAGGAUGUUGUUUAGUGUCAACUGCAACUAUUUUUGGUUGGUGGAGUUCCUCGAGCAUUGCUUAACUUGAAUGAUAAACUACUGAGCAGGUUGGCCUGAGAGCAGCGAGGUUAGAGCUCCAUAUGGUUCUUGGUUGCAAUAGGGGAGAUGCAGGGGAGGGUGAGGAGGCCAACGAUAGGGUGAAGCAGCCCGGCGACAAGUGCAAGCAGCAUGAGGUUUUGCACAUUCUCUUUUCUUGUUCUACUUCUAGCAUUUUUCUUCAUCUCAUCACUAACCAAUUCAUUGUUUAUGUGUGUAUCUAUUCUCUCCUUUGUUAUUCUCAUGAACUGAUGUGUGUGCAUGGUAAGCUUAUUCUUCUCUCUAGAAUUCAUGGAUGGAUUAAUGGUCUUGGUUAUAUGGUUUAUUCAAUCCACCUGAAGGAACAAAGUUUGCACCCCUUGACUGAUUUUAUUGGAAUUAUGAUGUGAUCUGUCUGCUUCUACAUGGCCGUUGUAAUUGGUCUAAGUAUCGUAUUGUUUCAUGUACUUUGUUGCAGUUUAUAGCUUUGAUUUUUAAGACUAGGCACUGUAGUGUUGUCUGUUAUGGCUGAUUGAUUUUGUUGGGGACCUUGAGAUUAGAUUAAUUCUUGCAGCCAAUAGUCCAGUACAGAGUAUAUGUGCAAUGAAGUAAUGCAGCGAGUACUGUAUGGUGGUGAAGAAUUUCUCUUGAAUUUUGUACAACAUUCAAAUUAUCAUCCAGAAAGCGUGUGUGUUGUUUCUCAAUAGGCACAUAUGCAAAUUUAUCUUUCUGUUGGUUGUUUGUUCUUCUGGCAGCAUCCCGAGUACAUAUGUGAGGCUAUGGGAGUUCUUUUUUUGUGUGAUGAAGAGAGGAAUACGAUAGGCCAACCAAUUGUACCAUGUGAACACAAUCAUUGGUACAUUUUGAAGUUUUCUUUCCAAUGUGCCAUAUUAAUUAUUUGGUCCUAUACACCCUAAUUAGGAUGGAUAUUUCUUUUUUUUGUUCACCUUCAGAUAUACAUUUUUGCUUGGCCUACUAUAUUUGCUCUUCUACAGUUAAAAAUUCAAGCUUGCACUAUAUAGCUUCUAAUCUGAUGCUCAAAUAUUUAAUUUGCAGUGUGAUGUUCCGUGGUUCCGGAUCAGGCGCACCUCAUCAUCGUGGAAAGCAUGAGCAGAUGGGUCUUCAUGGAGGGGUGGAGCUGCAGGGGAGGGAAGGUUGCUGACGACAGGGGGAAGGAGGAGGCCGAUGAGUAGGGCAAACAGCAGGGCGAAGGGCACGGCAAGCCCAUCAGGGGAAAAAAGCAGGGUGAGCGACGCUAGCCGGAGGAAGGAGCAGGCGAGGCCUCACGCACCUGCGUCCUUCUUGUGACGGGAGGCUUUUCUACUCAUUUAGCAUGUGUGCGACACUGAGGACAAGCGACGGUGAGCAGAUUUUGGGGAGUGGCACGAACAUCAAGCAAUGGCUGAUGC
rnacentral:lncRNA from 1 species